rnacentral:rRNA from 1 species
GACGAACGCUGGCGGCGUGCUUAACACAUGCAAGUCGAACGGAAAGGCCCUGCUUUUGUGGGGUGCUCGAGUGGCGCACGGGUGAGUAGCCCGUGAGUAACCUGCCCUUGACUUUGGGAUAACUUCAGGAAACUGGGGCUAAUACCGGAUAGGAGCUCCUGCUGCAUGGUGGGGGUUGGAAAGUUUCGGCGGUUGGGGAUGGACUCGCGGCUUAUCAGCUUGAUGGUGGGGUAGUGGCUUACCAAGGCUUUGACGGGUAGCCGGCCUGAGAGGGUGACCGGCCACGUUGGGACUGAGAUACGGCCCAGACGCCUACGGGAGGCAGCAGUGGGGAAUAUUGCACAAUGGGCGGAAGCCUGAGGCAGCAACGCCGCGUGCGGGAUGACGGCCUUCGGGUUGUAAACCGCUUUCGCCUGUGACGAAGCGUGAGUGACGGUAAUGGGUAAAGAAGCACCGGCUAACUACGUG